rnacentral:tRNA from 1 species
UCCCUGGUGGCUCAGGUGGUAAAGCGUCUGCCUACAAUGUGGGAGACCCAGGUUCGAUCCCUGGGUUGGGAA